rnacentral:rRNA from 1 species
AGGAUGAACGCUAGCUACAGGCUUAACACAUGCAAGUCAGGGGCAGCAUGUGUGCUGCACCAAUGAUGGCGACCGGCGCACGGGUGAGUAACGCGUAUCCAACUUCCCCAUAGUAGAGGAUAGCCCGGCGAAAAGUCGGAUUAAUACUCUAUGUUGUGUCAUGAGGACAUCUGAAUAACACCAAAGGUUUACCGCUAUGGGAUGGGGAUGCGUCUGAUUAGCUUGUCGGCGGGUAACGGCCCACCGAGGCAACGAUCAGUAGGGGUCUGAGAGGAAGGUCCCCCACAUUGGUACUGAGACACGGACCAAACUCCUACGGGAGGCAGCAGUGAGGAAUAUUGGUCAAUGGGCGCGAGCCUGAACCAGCCUUAAGUAGCGUGCAAGGAUGACUGCCCUAUGGGUUGUAAACUGCUUUUAUGCGGGAAUAAAGUCAGGUACGUGUACCUGUUUGUAUGUACCGCAUGAAUAAGGACCGGCUAAUUCCGUGCCAGCAGCCGC